CGGGAUGGGAGGCAAAGGGACUGCAACAUGAUCAAAGAGGAAAAAGUGGAAGCCGCCAUCAUCUCCAUCAGGUCGUUCUCGCUUCCGUCGGUCCAUCCAAGGCCAUGCUAUCGACACCUCCGCAGUCUUCCCAUCCUCCAGUACAUUUUUUCAACUGCCCGCGCGGUAGGGAAGGCAAAGGGUGGGCAUGUCGUCCUCUCCUCUGCACCACGUCAUCCACGACGAUGGUGGAGGAGACUGCUUCAGUCGCCAUUCGUUAGUCUCCGUUGCUCCUCCACACGCUUGGUCGUCGUCUCUACGGUUGGCCCAGGUAUGAAUACCCUUUUCCCAUCAAAUCUUCCCCAGAUCUGUGUGUUAUUCGUGUUAGGGUUUGCAUCCGCUCCUCCACAUCGUGCGCUCUCACUCCAUAGCUUCACAUUAGGAAUGGAGGUCGUCAAUUCAGGUCGAGUAGGAGCACUCUACGGCUCCGCAUUGCUACUGGUGGUCCAAUAAUCACACCUUCAUGAUUUAGUGGAUUUCCCUCAUCCAUAUCUCCACUAACAUUAGAAUAUUCCUUAUCCCAUCGUCAUGAGGUCUUCCUACUUUUGGUCUCUAAAUUGUGUAUGCCUUUUGGAGUAAUUUGCUUUGUUUCGAUGCCUACAUGUUAGCUUUGAAUAAAGCUAAUUUCCCUGCAGCUUUUGAAAAAGAGUUGCUGAAAAAAAAUCAGGUGAUCCAUUAUACACUCAUCUUUGUUGUAUUAUUACACUACUAUUUUGCUUCCACCAUGAAAUUUUAAUAUCUUAUUGGAGUUUGAAUAAAAUUUUAUAUUUGAAUGUCUUUAUUUUAGCUAUCUCACAUGUGGUGGUCCUGUAAAUUGUCCAUUUUUUUUAAAAUAAAAACAAAAUGGAACCCUAAAUUAGGAUGGUUAGCUUCCUUCUAUGUAUACCCUUUUCACUUUUUCUUUUUCUUUUGGAAAAAGUAACUAAGUGUUCGAGCUGCUUGCUUUGUACUGAUGUCAGUUUCCAUUAGGCAAUCACAACAAUUCCACAAGGAAGCAGGUCAUAAGCUGGAGUCUACCUUGCUCCUCUUUUUAUUUGUUUUCUUUGCACCCAUGUCCUUCCUCUCUGUUUUCAAAAUUCUUUUGUUAGAAGAGCCAUUUAACAGAUGCAAUAUUGUUUAUUUGCGGAAUGUCAAGUGAUGGGAAAUACUAAGAUUAUAACAUUGUAGAUAUUAUCAUUUGGUAGGUUACCAUAGCCCAUUACCUAUCUUGAAAGGAUUGAAUACUCAAUAAUCACGGCGAAACAGGCGGUGUCGAUAUACUCAAUUUUUAUAUUCUCAUAAACAAGAUAAACUUUAUCCUCCCUGUAUAGCUUAACAUGAUGUCCCUCCAUACGUACUUAUGUAUCAAUGCAUUGUUGGUUUACUAUUGUUCACAUUCUUAAUCAGCUUAUAGGUUACGAAUCUCAUUUGUUUUCCCUUGCAUUUUCCCAUGUUUACUGUUGUUCACAUUCUUGAACAAUUUAUAGAUCACGAAUCUCAUUUGUUUUCUGUUGCAUUUUCGCAUGUUGAACAACUAAUUUGAAUCGUCAACAACUCAUUUGAACAACCUACGACUUACGUUGGGAACAUGUAUGUUUUUCCCAACAAGCAAUAUGUUAUCUAUUUAUUUUCCACACUCAUGACAACCACAUAUAUCAUUUUACUUGCUAUUUUCGGCAUGGUCACCUGCUAUUUUCUAAUCGGAGCAAGGUGAAUCGCACAUUCUGUAAGUUCUAUUCGAAAGAGGUAUUUUCUAUACAAUAAACACCAUGACCACACCCUGUGUAUCCACUUAUGUAUCUAAGCAAAUUACAUAUAUGUAUAUAUGUACUUCGAAUAAGUGCUCAAUUACAUAGGAUUGAUAACGAUGUUAUACAUGAAUAAAUAUAUGCAUAGAGAUCCUACAAUAUAAAUGCACAUGUAUACACAUAUGUUAUUGAGUACUCGGAUGGUAUUUGAUCUUUUCAAAAACAAAAACGGGUGAAGGUUGUUGUGCUUUAAUAGUCUAGAUGUGCUUUUAACCCUCUUUUUAUACAAUUGUGGCAUUGCUGAUCUAAGUUUGUUACUUCAUCCUUAUGGCUUAGAUUCUAAUUAUCCAACAAUAUCAAUUUAUAUGAUCUGAAUUCCAUACUGAUGUUUGCCAUAAAUAAACUACUUACAUUCCAAAAUAUAGGUUGUUUUUAGUUUUUUUUAGAAAUGUAUAUCGUGUAUAAUAAAGGAUUAACAUGUAUCAAGAUGCAUAUAGCAGCCAACAGACUUCUACAUCUGAUACUGAAGAACAUAGAUCCAAAUGUAAUGCUAAAGAAGAAAUCACAAAGGACCAAACAACUAGCACUAGGCAACUCAAAGCAAAAGAUAAUAUGCCUUCGUUUGAAUCUCCUCCAAAAAGAGUCUUUCAUGUGAUUUGAACGCUGCGCCAACAGAAACUUGGCUUCUAAAUGGAGCUGGUUGUUGAAAUGAGAGGACAAAUGAGGAAUGGACUGAAGUGGUUGCAACGUAGGAAAUCAGGUUGCUUUAUGUUACACAUGUUGUUUGGUGGCAAAAAUCAGUGGUCCAUCAGUGCUUCCUAUGGCCUUCGUUUCAAGGACCGAUUCUUCUUCAGUGGAUGCUGACAGCUAGACAUCCCGAAAGUCAUCUGGAGAGUAUAGCUCGGCACAUGUAGCCUCCUGGAGUCGUUGACAACUCAGUGCCAUCUGAAUCAUAGGACAACUGAAGCAAAGCGAGAUAGUAAUGGAAGAAGAAUUGAAAAGAUCAGGCUGCUUGCCAUCAUAUAUAUAUACAUGGGAGGAGGAGGAAUAGUAAGUACAUCACUCCGCUUUUCUGUUUUUUGGUGCUCUGCUGGAUGAACAAGAACUGAGCUGGAACAGGAGAAGCUGGCUACGUGAGAGCACUGGCUGCCUCGUCCGAAUCCCUCGUCUGUUGUUUUUUUAGUCGUAUACACAGACAGAAACAGACUAGACUUGCUUGAGGUUACACUAGGCACAACAGCCAUGGUGGCGGCCCGCCAUGAGCAAGUUGCUUCUAGUGAGGCUGGUGGAUGACGCGGCGCGCGGCGCCCCUGGCGUAGUGCGUCGGCCUAUCCGCGUGCCUCUACUGCUGGGCGCGCGACGACAACGACGGCGUGGCGGCGGCCCGGGGGGAGCUGAAGCUCAGCGCCCUGAGCAUCUCGAGGCUUCCCUUGCUGUGAGGACUUGCGGCUCGACAUCAUUCUCACUUUCUUCCCACAAUCUCAUGGGGUGGAUGAUCGCCAUAGCCUUCUCUCCGACUUCCAGGUUCUGUACUCCUACCAAGGGGCAACGUGAGGUGUCCACAGGGGCGAGGCCGUGCCUCCGUCCCGCCGCCCCCGACAAUGAUCCCCACCGGCACUUUGUACGAAAGCACAAUAUUAGGACUUUUUUAUGAUCUUUUAUCUUUUUUAUUUGAAGGCACAAUAGGAUCCAAAGAGGUAGGUUCCUUUUUGUCACUGAUUUCAUAUACUUGAAUAACAUGUGUUCGGUUUGAAAGAGCACAUAAUUGCAUUCCUAUUUUUAGUCCUUACAUGAUUACUACAUAGUUGUUUACCGGUUUGAGGUCUGCAGAUCUCAAGCUCGCUCGCACUGCAGAUACCUUGUAGUUUAUUUUUUUACUGCAUUGCGACUAGGCCUUCCAAUUUGACAAACACAAUUAAGUAGCUUAGUUGUCACUGACAGUUGAUAGUAUCGUUGUUUCAGAUUAUUACUUCAAUGCAAAUAAAUUAUUUCUAAUAUAUUUUUGAGCUCUUAGAAUGCACAUGAUUCAACCUAUACUGCAGCAAAAUUUUGGUACUGGUACCACAACUUUCUGAGAGUUAAGUCAUUGUUUCUAGCAUUUGGCAUGCAACCUAUUGACUUAGUUGACAAGUUGAAGUCUGUAUAGAGAAAUUAAUGAUAAACCACUAUGCAAUAUAAGACAGAUAUCCUAUUUCAUCAUUUAUUGGCAUCCUUAUAAAUCUUGUGAUGCUUACCCGUGUAUGAUGUAUGGUAAUGUAUGCUUACCCAUGUGGCCUCCUUUGUGGUUGCUUAGAGGUCAUUAUCCAAAAGUUGGGAGGGAUGGAGUCAACUAAGUACUCUUUCUUGCAAUAUGUUGAUCAAACGGUGCAUCUGUAAUAUGUUUUGAGAGCUUUUGAAUGUCAAAAUGCCACAGUGCAUGAGGAGGUUA